UACAGAGACUGCAAGCGUUAUUCGGAUUCACUGGGCGUAAAGGGUGCGCAGGCGGUUAUGCAAGACAGAUGUGAAAUCCCCGGGCUCAACCUGGGAACUGCAUUUGUGACUGCAUAGCUAGAGUACGGUAGAGGGGGAUGGAAUUCCGCGUGUAGCAGUGAAAUGCGUAGAUAUGCGGAGGAACACCGAUGGCGAAGGCAAUCCCCUGGACCUGUACUGACGCUCAUGCACGAAAGCGUGGGGAGCAAACAGG
rnacentral:rRNA from 1 species